rnacentral:rRNA from 1 species
UUCCAGACUCCUACGGGAGGCAGCAGUGGGGAAUAUUGCACAAUGGGGGAAACCCUGAUGCAGCGACGCCGCGUGAGCGAUGAAGUAUUUCGGUAUGUAAAGCUCUAUCAGCAGGGAAGAAGAUGACGGUACCUGACUAAGAAGCCCCGGCUAACUACGUGCCAGCAGCCGCGGUAAUACGUAGGGGGCAAGCGUUAUCCGGAUUUACUGGGUGUAAAGGGAGCGUAGACGGCGAUGCAAGCCAGAUGUGAAAGCCCGGGGCUCAACCCCGGGACUGUAUUUGGAACUGUGUGGCUGGAGUGUCGGAGAGGCAGGCGGAAUUCCUAGUGUAGCGGUGAAAUGCGUAGAUAUUAGGAGGAACACCAGUGGCGAAGGCGGCCUGCUGGACGAUGACUGACGUUGAGGCUCGAAAGCGUGGGGAGCAAACAGGAUUAGAUACCCCUGUA